rnacentral:tRNA from 1 species
GGGAUGGAACAUUUUGAUGAGUCUUUUGUUGAAGGGAGUGGGUUAAUUUCACGAGAGGAGAGUGGAGGUAUCACUUAUAAUUUUUGAAAGCACUGUUUUGACAUUUUCUUUGUUGAUAAUUUGAUAGGGGGUGAAUUGUUCACCUGCCUCUGUUAGUCUAGUGUCUUCUGUAUUGUUCUCUGUGGAUUGUACUGUAAACAGUAGAUUGUACUGUAAAUAUUGUAAACAAACAUUUUUGAUAAUAAAAAAAAAAAAAAAAAAAAAAAAAAUCACGUUCGCUUUACACGCGAAAGGUCCCUGGUUCGAAACCGGGCGGAAACAACGCUCAUUGACACAUUCUGAAGUACCAUAGUGGUAACAGAAAAUUUCAUGAAUUCUUUAUUUUGGAAAUUCGAAUACGUGCCAUGAAUAUUUUUUAAAUUCGGUUUACUCCUUGCAGAAAAAUCAAGCAGCAGUUUCUGUAGUGUAGUGGUUAUCACGUUAGCUUUACACGUGAAAGGUCCUCAGUUUGAAACUGGGAGGAAACAGUGCUCUUUGACACGUGCAGUAGGUACUGUACUUUCAACAAAGAAUUGUUAUUUUCAUGAAUUCUGUAUUUUGGAAAUUCGAAUACGUGCCAUGAAUAUUUUUAAAAUUCGGUUUACUCCUUGCAGCUAAUUGUAGCAGUAGUUUCUGUGGUGUAGUGGUUAUCACGUUUGCUUCACACGCGAAAGGUCCCUGGUUCGAAACCGGCGGAAACAACACUCAUUGACACAUUCUGAAGUACCAUAGUGGUAACAGAAAAUUUCAUGAAUUCUUUAUUUUGGAAAUUCGAAUACGUGCCAUGAAUAUUUUUAAAAUUCGGUUUACUCCUUGCAGGAAAAUCAAGCAGCAGUUUCUGUAGUGUAGUGGCUAUCGCGUUCGCUUUACACGCAAAAGGUCCUCGGUUCGAAACCCUGGCGGAAACAGUGCUCUUUGACACGUGCAGUAGGUACUCUACUAUUAACAGAGAAUAGUUAUUUUCAUAAAUGCCUAAUUUUGGAAAUUUGAACACGUGCCAUGAAUAUCUGUAAAAUUCGGUUUACUCCUUGCAGAUAAUUGUUGCAGAAGUUUCUGUAGUGUAGUGGUUAUCACGUUCGCUUAACACGCGAAAGGUCCCUGGUUUGAAACCGGGCGGAAACAACACUCAUUGACACAUUCUGAAGUACCAUAGUGGUAACAGAAAAUUUCAUGAAUUCUUUAUUUUGGAAAUUCGAAUACGUGCCAUGAAUAUUUUUAACAUUCGGUUUACUCCUUGCAGAAAAAUCAAGCAGCAGUUUCUGUAGUGUAGUGGUUAUCACGUUCUCUUUACACGUGAAAGGUCCUCAGUUUGAAACUGGGAGGAAACAGUGCUCUUUGACACGUGCAGUAGGUACUGUACUAUUAACAGAGAAUAGUUAUUUUCAUAAAUGCCUACUUUUGGAAAUUUGAACACGUGCCAUGAAUAUCUGUAAAAUUCGGUUUACUCCUUGCAGAAAAAUCAAGCAGCAGUUUCUGUAGUGUAGUGGUUAUCACGUUCUCUUUACACGUGAAAGGUCCUCAGUUCGAAACUGGGAGGAAACAGUGCUCUUUGACACGUGCAGUAGGUACUGUACUUUCAACAAAGAAUUGUUAUUUUCAUAAAUUCUGUAUUUUGGAAAUUCGAAUACGUGCCCUGAAUAUCUGUAAAAUUCGGUUUACUUCUUGCAGGAAAAUCAAGCAGCAGUUUCUGUAGUGUAGUGGUUAUCACGUUCGCUUCACACGCCCCUUUUUGGAGUUUCAGGAAGUGGAAGAGAAGCAGGUGUCUGAGUGCUUGAGAGAGAAUAUCGUUUUUUUUGGAGGUCUAGUUGACUUAUAAGUUUGAAAGUUUGUGAGUGACUGUAGUGAAGUUUCUGUGAAACGUUUUUGCUAUUGUCCCCCAUCAGCGUGAGCUGUUUGGGGGAUAUUGCUUAAAAUAACCGGACGGACAACAUGGCUUCGACAUCAAGAAUACAAACGACGACGAGAAAGGACAACAGUGAAAUCAGAAUGUUAAACGAAGAACUGAAAAAAAGAACAUAUGAGAAGGAACUGACGGUGAACGUGGAAAUAAGUGGAGAAGGGAAAAUAACAACGAUGGAAUUGCUGAGAGGAAUAAAGGAAGUUUGCGGAACAAUACUGGGAUGUCGAAUGAAAGACGGG